rnacentral:rRNA from 1 species
CACGUAUUUAGCCGGGGCUUCUUAGUCAGGUACCGUCAUUUUCUUCCCUGCUGAUAGGGCUUUACAUGCCGAAGCACUCCAUCGCCCACGCGGCGUCGCUGCAUCAGGGUUCCCCCAUUGUGCAAUAUCCCCACUGCUGCCUCCCGUAGGAGUCUGGGCCGUGUCUCAGUCCCAAUGUGGCCGUCCACCCUCUCAGGCCGGCUACUGAUCGUCGCCUUGGUGGGCCGUUGCCCCGCCAACAAGCUAAUCAGACGCGAGCCCAUCCUGCACCGUAUUGCUUUCCACACCGCCCCAUGCAGGGCUGUGCGCCUAUGCGGUAUUAGCAGCCGUUUCCGGCUGUUGUCCCCCAGUGCAGGGCAGGUUGCUCACGCGUUACUCACCCGUCCGCCACUAGGCAGCGCCAAUUUCCGCUCCGAAAAGUUUCCAUCGGCACGCCCCGUUCGACUUGCAUGUGUUAGGCACGCCGCCAGCGUUCAUCCUGAGCCAGGA